GCAGAGUUUGAUCAUGGCUCAGAGCGAACGCUGGCGGCGUGCUUAACACAUGCAAGUCGAACGUGAAAGGGAGCAAUCCUGAGAAAAGUGGCGUACGGGUGAGUAACACGUAGGUAAUCUACCCCAAAGUCUGGAAUAACCUGCCGAAAGGCGGGCAUAAUACUGGAUAGAGCGACGGAAUCCGUAAUUGGGUUUUUCGGGAAAGGGAGGAAGCAAUUCCCUUCGCUUUGGGAUGAGCCUGCGUCUCAUUAGCUAGUUGGUGGGGUAACGGCCUACCAAGGCUUUGAUGGGUAGCUGGUCUGAGAGGAUGAUCAGCCACACUGGAACUGAAACACGGUCCAGACUCCUACGGGAGGCAGCAGUGGGGAAUCUUGCGCAAUGGACGAAAGUCUGACGCAGCCACGCCGCGUGAGUGAAGAAGGCCUUCGGGUUGUAAAGCUCUGUCGAGCGGGACGAAAAAUCUUUAGGUGAAUAGCCUAGAGAUCUGACGGUACCGCUAAAGGAAGCACCGGCUAACUCCGUGCCAGCAGCCGCGGUAAUACGGAGGGUGCAAGCGUUGCUCGGAAUUAUUGGGCGUAAAGGGUAGGUAGG
rnacentral:rRNA from 1 species